UUGCUCCAAGUACCCCUGACUGCAGCCCGCAGAUCGGGGCGUGCCUCAACGUGGGCGGAGUUAAACGUUGAGCUCCGCCCACCUUGAACUAAACGUGGGCGGAGUUAAACGUUUAACUCCGCCCGCAUAGCGCAGUUGAACCGUUGAAGAAGAAGAAGAAUGUAUUAGAGAAGAAGAAGAAGUUUCCAAAAUGGAGAGAAUAGAGCACGUGUUUGCUGCAAACAGCCACGUCAUUGCCACAUGGUUUCCACCAUCAUCCACAAACCCCAUGGAUCACCUGCCGGACAAUGCAGCCAGUCUCCAGUGGGUUCUGCUUCCAGUAUUUGUACCUGGACACUGGAUACUCUGCACAUUGCUCACAGCCUAUCUCCUGGCCCUUGGAGGCAGCUUGGUGUGAAUGAUGUUCAGGAAAACAUGCUGCAGAUUAGAAGAUGGUGGUGUCUUGUUCUCCUGCAGAACUUCCCCAUGCUAUCUGAAGAAGAGAGAUUGCAGCAAAGAAAAAGGCAACGAGAGCAGAAAAAACUACAGGUGAGAGGUCAUGUGAUAAAUUGGUAUAUAGUGAAACUAUUGCUCAAAGACUGAUCCCCGCCACUUAUUUCAGUAUGUGGCUGAAGUCCCCCUGAAAAUGUUUAGGCUUUCAGAAUCUGCCACUGAAGCAUCAGGUAUUGUUCCAGCCAGCAUUGUCUCACACAUAUCCAUUGAGGUUGUUGAGGUUCCAUGUCACAGAGCAGUCAUUAUUUCUCUGUGUACUUAAAAUCAACCACUUAAAUCUUGCGUUUUCAUUGUGCCUGUAGACACCACAAUCUGUUUCCUUUCUAGAUGAGGCUGAGAACAGGACUGGGAACAGGAAACGGGGAGAAUCCUUUGGUCAGGGAUGCAAUGGCGGCAGCCCGGUGGUGUGGGACCAGAACUUUGAAGGGAAAAAUUUCCCUUCCCCAAGUUGUUACCCUGGCCAAGGAGCAACGCGUGAAGGCAGUGGAACUCCUUUAUGUCUGUGAUGGCCAUGAAGAAGAGGAGACCGCUGAUCUCAGAGAACCGUUCCUUUUUCUUUUUAGUCUGCAGGAAGACUAUGAGACAUUCUGUCAAGAAAUCAUUGACAGGAGAAACAUGAAGGUGUUUUGUGCUUUUGACAGAAAAGAAUAAAGUUGUGUUCAACGGUG